GAUGAACGCUUUCUGCUUUCCUAAUACAUGCAAGUCGAGCGAACGGACGAGAAGCUUGCUUCUCUGAUGUUAGCGGCGGACGGGUGAGUAACACGUGGAUAACCUACCUAUAAGACUGGGAUAACUUCGGGAAACCGGAGCUAAUACCGGAUAAUAUUUUGAACCGCAUGGUUCAAAAGUAAAAGACGGUCUUGCUGUCACUUAUAGAUGGAUCCGCGCUGCAUUAGCUAGUUGGUAAGGUAACGGCUUACCAAGGCAACGAUGCAUAGCCGACCUGAGAGGGGGAGCGGCCACACUGGAACUGAGACACGGUCCAGACUCCUACGGGAGGCAGCAGUAGGGAAUCUUCCGCAAUGGGCGAAAGCCUGACGGAGCAACGCCGCGUGAGUGAUGAAGGUCUUCGGAUCGUAAAACUCUGUUAUUAGGGAAGAACAUAUGUGUAAGUAACUGUGCACAUCUUGACGGUACCUAAUCAGAAAGCCACGGCUAACUACGUG
rnacentral:rRNA from 1 species